rnacentral:rRNA from 1 species
AUUGAACGCUGGCGGCAUGCUUUACACAUGCAAGUCGAACGGCAGCGCGGGGCAACCUGGCGGCGAGUGGCGAACGGGUGAGUAAUAUAUCGGAACGUACCCAAGAGUGGGGGAUAACGUAGCGAAAGUUACGCUAAUACCGCAUACGAUCUAUGGAUGAAAGCAGGGGACCGCAAGGCCUUGUGCUCCUGGAGCGGCCGAUAUCUGAUUAGCUAGUUGGUAGGGUAAAGGCCUACCAAGGCUACGAUCAGUAGCUGGUCUGAGAGGACGACCAGCCACACUGGAACUGAGACACGGUCCAGACUCCUACGGGAGGCAGCAGUGGGGAAUUUUGGACAAUGGGCGCAAGCCUGAUCCAGCAAUGCCGCGUGAGUGAAGAAGGCCUUCGGGUUGUAAAGCUCUUUUGUCAGGGAAGAAACGGUGGAGGUUAAUACCUUCCGCUAAUGACGGUACCUGAAGAAUAAGCACCGGCUAACUACGUGCCAGCAGCCGCGGUAAUACGUAGGGUGCAAGCGUUAAUCGGAAUUACUGGGCGUAAAGCGUGCGCAGGCGGUUUUGUAAGUCUGUCGUGAAGCCCCGGGCUCAACCUGGGAAUUGCGAUGGAGACUGCAAGGCUUGAAUCUGGCAGAGGGGGGUAGAAUUCCACGUGUAGCAGUGAAAUGCGUAGAGAUGUGGAGGAACACCGAUGGCGAAGGCAGCCCCCUGGGUCAAGAUUGACGCUCAUGCACGAAAGCGUGGGGAGCAAACAGGAUUAGAUACCCUGGUAGUCCACGCCCUAAACGAUGUCUACUAGCUGUCGGGUUUUAAUUAACUUGGUAACGCAGCUAACGCGUGAAGUAGGCCGCCUGGGGAGUACGGUCGCAAGAUUAAAACUCAAAGGAAUUGACGGGGACCCGCACAAGCGGUGGAUGAUGUGGAUUAAUUCGAUGCAACGCGAAAAACCUUACCUACCCUUGACAUGUCAGGAAUCUUUGAGAGAUCAGAGAGUGCCCGAAAGGGAACCUGAACACAGGUGCUGCAUGGCUGUCGUCAGCUCGUGUCGUGAGAUGUUGGGUUAAGUCCCGCAACGAGCGCAACCCUUGUCAUUAGUUGCUACAUUCAGUUGAGCACUCUAAUGAGACUGCCGGUGACAAACCGGAGGAAGGUGGGGAUGACGUCAAGUCCUCAUGGCCCUUAUGGGUAGGGCUUCACACGUCAUACAAUGGUACAUACAGAGGGCCGCCAACCCGCGAGGGGGAGCUAAUCCCAGAAAGUGUAUCGUAGUCCGGAUCGCAGUCUGCAACUCGACUGCGUGAAGUUGGAAUCGCUAAUAAUCGCGGAUCAGCAUGUCGCGGUGAAUACGUUCCCGGGUCU